AGCUCCAAUAGCGUAUAUUAAAGUUGUUGCGGUUAAAAAGCUCGUAGUUGGGUUUCUGUUGAAAACUUUCGGUCCGCUCUAUGAGUGUGCAUCUGGAGAGUUUCCAGCAUCCUCGUGAAUUUCGCUUCAUGCUUCACUGCAGGGGGCGUUAAGCACGACCUUUACUUUGAGGAAAAUAGAGUGUUCAUUGCAGGCAAUCGCCAUGAAUAUAUUAGCAUGGAAUAAUAAUAUAAAACUUAAGCUUUAUUUUAUUGGUUUUCGGAACUUAAGUAGUGAUAAAUAGGGACAGUUGGGGGCAUCUGUAUUAACGCGUCAGAGGUGGAAUUCUUGGAUUGCGUUACGACAAACAACUGCGAAAGCAUUUGCCAAGGAUGUUUUCA
rnacentral:rRNA from 1 species